rnacentral:lncRNA from 1 species
AACUGGAGCCACUUUUCAGCUGCCGCUGGCUCCCAUCUCAGCGCUUUUGCACCGAGAGUCGGUGUUUUUGCACGCUUCUCCCAGGAGAGUCUUAAAU